rnacentral:ncRNA from 2 species
GAGGAAGCCGGUGCGAAUCCGGCGCGGUCCCGCCACUGUGAUCGGUGAGCGGAUCCCGAAGUUGCCACUGCCCCGGUAGGGGCGGGAAGGCCGGGACGAGCUGUGACCCGGGAGCCAGGAAACUC